rnacentral:misc_RNA from 1 species
GAUGAAGAACGUAGCGAAAUGCGAUAAGUAGUGUGAAUUGCAGAAUUCAGUGAAUCAUCGAAUCUUUGAACGCACAUUGCGCCCCUUGGUAUUCCAUGGGGCAUGCCUGUUCGAGCGUCAUUUUGACCACUCCCGCUUGCGGGGUCUUGGGCCUUCGCCUCUGGGCGGGCCUUAAAAUCAGUGGCGGUGCCGUCCGGCUCUAAGCGUAGUAAAUCUCCUCGCUAUAGGGUUCCGGAGGGAUGCUGGCCAACAACCCCCAACUUUUAAGGUUGACCUCGGAUCAGGUAGGGAUACCCGCUGAACUUAAGCAUAUCAAUAAGCGGAGGA